UACGGGGGGGGGCAAGCGUUGUUCGGAAUUACUGGGCGUAAAGGGCGCGUAGGCGGUCAGAUAAGUCAACUGUGAAAACCUCGGGCUUAACCCGAGGCCUGCAGUUGAAACUGUUUGGCUGGAGUGUGGGAGAGGAGAGUGGAAUUCCCGGUGUAGCGGUGAAAAUGCGUAGAUAUCGGGAGGAACACCGGUGGCGAAGGCGGCUCUCUGGACCACUACUGACGCUGAGGCGCGAAAGCUAGGGGAGCAAACAGG
rnacentral:rRNA from 1 species